UGUUAGAUCACUACAUUGAAAGAUAUUCAUGCAUAAGACUCUCGGCCCCAAGGGGCCUCGCGUCUUAUGCAUGAAUAUCUUUCAAUGUAGUUAUCUAACA
rnacentral:snoRNA from 1 species